GACGAACGCUGGCGGCGUGCUUAACACAUGCAAGUCGAACGGAAAGGCCCUGCUUUUGUGGGGUGCUCGAGUGGCGAACGGGUGUGUAACACGUGAGUAACCUGCCCUUGACUUUGGGAUAACUUCAGGAAACUGGGGCUAAUACCGGAUAGGAGCUCCUGCUGCAUGGUGGGGGUUGGAAAGUUUCGGCGGUUGGGGCUGGACUCGCGGCUUAUCGGCUUGUUGGUGGGGUAGUGGCUUACCAAGGCUUUGACGGGUAGCCGGCCUGAGAGGGUGACCGGCCACAAGAGGACUGAGAGACGGCGCAGACUCCUACGGGAGGCAGCAGUGGAGAAUAUUGCACAAUGGGCGGAAGCCUGAUGCAGCAACGCCGCGUGCGUGAUGACGGCCUUCGGGUUAUAAACCGCUUUCGCCUGUGACGAAGCGUGAGUGACGGUAAUGGGUAAAGAAGCACCGGCUAACUACGUG
rnacentral:rRNA from 1 species